rnacentral:misc_RNA from 1 species
GAUGAAGAACGUAGUGAAAUGCGAUAAGUAAUGUGAAUUGCAGAAUUCAGUGAAUCAUCGAAUCUUUGAACGCACAUUGCGCCCUCUGGUAUUCCGGGGGGCAUGCCUGUUCGAGCGUCAUUAUAACCACUCAAGCUCUCGCUUGGUAUUGGGGCUCGCGGUUCCGCGGCCCCUAAAAUCAGUGGCGGUGCCUGUCGGCUCUACGCGUAGUAAUACUCCUCGCGAUUGAGUCCGGUAGGUCUACUUGCCAGCAACCCCCAAUGUUUACAGGUUGACCUCGGAUCAGGUAGGGAUACCCGCUGAACUUAAGCAUAUCAAUAAGCGGAGGA